rnacentral:rRNA from 1 species
ACUAUUUUAUAUACAAGUGAAACUGCGAAUGGCUCAUUAUAUCAGCUAUAAUUUAUUUGAUGAUUCAGUCUUAGACCACUGGAUAACCGUGGUAAUUCUAGAGCUAAUACAUAAUGUCAAAUACUCCAACUCUUUCAUGGGAAGGGGGGCAUUUAUUAGAUUCAAAACCAAUAGAGUCGUAAAAAACUCUUUUUUUGGUGAUUCAUAAUAACUAAGCAUAUCGCAUUUAUAGUGGGGGGGUUUUCCCCUCUCUGGCGAAGGGUCAUUCAAAUAUCUGCCCUAUCAACUGUCGAUGGUAGUAUAGAGGCCUACCAUGGUGGUAACGGGUAACGGGGAAUUAGGGUUCGAUUCCGGAGAGGGAGCCUGAGAAACGGCUACCACUUCUAAGGAAGGCAGCAGGCGCGCAAAUUACCCAAUCCUGACACAGGGAGGUAGUGACAAUAAAUAACAAUCCAGGGCCUUUAUAGGUCUUGGAAUUGCAAUGAGUACAAUCUAAACCUCUUAACGAGGAACAAUUGGAGGGCAAGUCUGGUGCCAGCAGCCGCGGUAAUUCCAGCUCCAAUAGCGUAUAUUAAAGUUGUUGCAGUUAAAAAGCUCGUAGUUGAACUUUAGAUUCUUUGAGUAGGGGUGAGCACUGAAGAAUUUCCCAAGUAGAUAUUUUUUAUUUGGUAUGUUUUUUAAAUGUACUUUUUAAAAUAAUAUUUAUGUCAAGAAUUUUUCAUUUAAAGGUGCAAUAAAAGGAGGGGUUAAUUUUACUUGGAAGGGGGGCAACCUUUUUCCUUGUUAUUUUCUCUUCUCUCUGAAGGGGAAUCUUUUGACUCGAGAUUUUUAAUUUUUUCUUCGGGAAAAUUUAAAAGUCUCAAGUUUAUUACCUUGAAAAAAUUAGAGUGUUCAAAGCAGGCAUUUAAUUUAGCCUGAAUAUAUUAGCAUGGAAUAAUAAAAUAGGACUUUGGUUUUAUUUUGUUGGUUUCUAAAGCCAAGGUAAUGAUUAAUAGGGAUAGUUGGGGGCAUUUGUAUGGUACUGUCAGUGGUGAAAUACUUGAACCAGUGCCAGACAAACUGAUGCGAAAGCGUCUGCCAAGGAUGUUUUCAUUAAUCAAGAACGAAAGUUAGGGGAUCGAAGACGAUUAGAUACCGUCGUAGUCUUAACCAUAAACUAUGCCGACUCGGGAUCAGACAAUGUUAUAUUUUUAAUGACUUGUUUGGCACCGUAUGAGAAAUCAAAGUUUUUGGGUUCCGGGGGGAGUAUGGUCGCAAGGCUGAAACUUAAAGGAAUUGACGGAAGGGCACCACCAGGAGUGGAGCCUGCGGCUCAAUUCGACUCAACACGGGAAAACUCACCAGGUCCAGACAUAGUGAGGAUUGACAGAUUGAGAGCUCUUUCUUGAUUCUAUGGGUGGUGGUGCAUGGCCGUUCUUAGUUGGUGGAGUGAUUUGUCUGGUUAAUUCCGAUAACGAACGAGACCUUAACCUGCUAAAUAUGCAGUGUUAUUAUAAGUGAAUAUUUUUUAAAUAUUUAUUUGUAAUGAGCAAACAAAAAAUGAGUGUUCACAAUUAUUAAAGUAUAUUUUUUUCAUUUUUAAAUUUAUUUAAAUUUGGGAAAAUUAUUUUAAGUGGAUUUUUACUCAGCUUCUUAGAGGGACUAUCAGUGGUUAACUGAUGGAAGUUUGAGGCAAUAACAGGUCUGUGAUGCCCUUAGAUGUUCUGGGCCGCACGUGCGCUACACUGAUAAAGUCAACGAGUAUUGUCAUUUUUAAAGAACUUGGGGGUGAAAAUUUAUUUUCUUCCCAAGUUUGACAUUUCCUGGGCCGAAAGGUUUGGGUAAUCUUGGGAAACUUUAUCGUGCUGGGGAUAGUCCAUUGCAAUUAUUGGACUUGAACGAGGAAUUCCUAGUAAGCGCAAGUCAUCAGCUUGCGUUGAUUACGUCCCUGCCCUUUGUACACACCGCCCGUCGCUACUACCGAUUGAAUGGCUUAGUGAGGUCUUUGGACUGGCUAUAAAGGUUUGGCAACAAAUUUUUACUGCUGGGAAGUUUAU